UACGAAGGGGGCUAGCGUUGCUCGGAAUGACUGGGCGUAAAGGGCGCGUAGGCGGUUUGGCCAGUCAGAUGUGAAAUUCCUGGGCUCAACCUGGGGGCUGCAUUUGAUACGUUCGGACUAGAGUGGGGAAGAGGGUCGUGGAAUUCCCAGUGUAGAGGUGAAAUUCGUAGAUAUUGGGAAGAACACCGGUGGCGAAGGCGGCUACCUGGUCCUUGACUGACGCUGAGGCGCGAAAGCGUGGGGAGCAAACAGG
rnacentral:rRNA from 1 species